GAUGGAUGCGAGCUAUUACGAGAAGCUGAAAUCUACGGAUGGAAGCAACAUAAACUAUUCAGGUCACAAGAAAAUCCUCUAUGUGAGAGUUAAAGGCGACCGUACCGCAAACCGACACAGGUGAAUUGGUAGAGUAUACCAAGGUGAUCGAGUAACCCCUUGUUAAGGAAUUCGGCAAAUUUAUCCCGUAUCUUUGGUAGAAGGGAUGCCCACUAUUAUUCGUAAUGGUGGGUCGCAGAGAAAUAGCCCAAUCGACUGUUUAACAAAAACACAGGUCCCUGCUAAAGCGCAAGCUGACGUAUAGGGGCUGACGCCUGCCCAAUGUCAGAAGAUUACGGAAGGAGGUUAUCCCGCCCUCAGAACUCUUUAUAGAGUCUUGAGGGCGGGAGAAGCUUCUGACCUAAGUCCUGAUGAAUGGCGGCUGUAACUAUAACGGUCCUAAGGUAGCGAAGUUCCUCGGCGCUUAAUAGGCGUCCCGCAUGAAAGGCGUAACGAGUUGGGCACUGUCUCAACAGGGGACUCGGCGAACAUUGAAAUGGCUGUGAAGAUGCGGCCUACCCGCACCAGGACAAAAAGACCCCGGGAUCUUUACUGUAGCUUGGCAUUGAAACAAUGCUUUCAUUGUAGAGUGUAGGAGGGAGACUUUGAAACCCGCUCGCCAGAGUGGGUGGAGUCGCCAAUGUAACACCUCCCUUUGUGUGUGUUGUUUCUUAUCCCAGCCCCUGAUCGGGGUGGGAGACAGUGUUUGGUGGGCAGUUUGACUGGGGCGGUUUCUUACUAAAAAGUAACGUAAGAUUCCAAAGGUCGACUCAAGCUGGAUGGAAAUCAGCUGUAGAGCAUAAUGGUAUAAGUCGGCUUUACUGCAAGACUGACAGGUCGAGCAGUCACGAAAGUGGGGCAUAGUGACCCUUAAGUAGCGUGUGGAAGCGCUUUUGUUUAAAGGAUAAAAGUUACCCCGGGGAUAACAGGCUGGUCUUGCCCAAGCGUCCAUAGCGACGGCAAGGUUCGGCACCUCGAUGUCGGCUCCUGGAGGUGGAGAAGCUUCCAAGGGUUGGGCUGUUCGCCCAUUAAAGCGGCACGCGAGCUGGGUUCAAACCGACGUGAGUCAGGUUGGUCUCUAUCCGGUGUGGGCGUUAGAAUUCUGAGGGAUCCGACCUUCAGUACGAGAGGACCAAGGUGAAGUAACCUCUGGUGCACCAGUUGUUCCACCAGGAGCAUAGCUGGGUAGCCAAGUUGCUAUUAGGAUAAACGCUGAAAGCAUAUAAGCGUGAAGCCACUCCCAAGAUGAGAAUUCUUCAUCCCGCCCUGAAAGUUUAUAAAUAUCAGAAAUAUUCCAGAAUUGUUAAUUAAAAUAUCUUAUGAUU
rnacentral:rRNA from 1 species